UUGCCUUAGUAACUGCGAGUGAAGCGGCAAAAGCUCAAAUUUGAAAUCUGGCGUUCAUACUGACGUCCGAGUUGUAAUUUGGAGGAGCGUCUUCGGGAGCCAGCGCCGUUCUAAGUUCUUUUGGAACUAGACAUCACAGAGGGUGAGAAUCCCGUGCCUGGGCGGCAGUCUGGUACCCACACGAAGCGUUUCCGACGAGUCGAGUUGUUUG
rnacentral:rRNA from 1 species